rfam:Eimeria mitis, Houghton, WGS project CBTT01000000 data, contig: Emh_contig1009_1
GCCAUCAUAGCUUAGUGGUAGAGCAUCGGUCUUGUAAACCGAAGGUCGUGGGUUCGAUUCCCAUUGGUGGCU